rnacentral:rRNA from 1 species
AUGAGGUUCAUGAUGCGGAUGACUCCUCUUGCUUCUUCGGCUCGUACUCAAGUUCCCCAGUACAAUGUCGUGGAACCCUUUUACUCUCCUCAACCCUUGCAACAUCCCCGCAUUAAUCCUGUUGGGCCUCCGCCCCCUUUGAAAGCUAAUGCAUUUGCUAAGUGGAAGCUAGAUAUGGAGUCUCACAUGCGUAGUGCUUCAACUCAAUUGUGGUGGAUUGUGGAAAUUUGGGAUUGCCUUGAGGAGGCUCUUGAAGGAGAUGAAGCAAUUCGAAGAUCUCGGUUGGCCUUGCUCAAACAAGAAGUCAAUCUCUUUGUGAGGAAUGAGGGUGAGUCCACAGAAGAGGUUUACCGAAGGUUGAUGUCCCUUGUGCUCAACUUGAGAACCUUUGGGUGCACUUGGGCAAAUGAUGAAUUCAUCAAGGACAAGUUCAUAGAUGCUAUGGUUCUCACAGAACAUACCAUGGUCAUGAUGGUUUCUGGUUCUGAAGAGGUGGGGCGGGGGGGGGGGCUCGGGUUCAUUCCCACCCAUUCGCCCCCCUCCUCUCCCAAGGAAGCCUCCAGCGCCGCCGCCGUCGCCUCCACUCGCCGGAGCUCCUCCGGGCUUUGUCGGAGUUCUUCCUCCAUGGAUCUGGAUCCAGAUGAGGUCCUCCUCCGGUUGGUCUUGUCUCCUUUGUCUAUCUCCUUAUACUCCGCUGACAAGAGGUCGGAGCUUCGUCGCAAGCGUGCAAAAGGAGGAUCAAAGGACUUCAUCAUUGCUCGUCGUCAGCCGUCUGAAGACAUGGGUCAGGGGUCUAGGACAGGUCAGGGCCAUGCUCGCCGUGCAACCUCAAAGCGGCCCGUUGUUGAGGCUUUCGAUGAAUCUGAGGAAGAAUAUGACUCACAAGAUGAUGCGAUAGAAGAAGAAGAUGUCGUGGUGAGGAGUAUGAAGAAGAGGAAGAGGAGUCUAGUCCGGAGGAAGCCACUUCGGGCAGGCCAAAGAAUCUAUCAUGAGAUUCUUAUGACCAAGUCAAAGAAGUUUGCUCCUCACAAGCAAGUCAACACUGAGAGUCUGCGCGACAAUGAUCAUUUGUAUCCCGGUGUGUACUCCGCUCUUGGACGACUGGGUCUGAUUCCAUUUGUCACUUUCAACCACCCCUACAAUGAAGAUCUAGUGAUGCAGUUCUUUGCCACUCUGUACUUCUCCAAUGAUUCUGCUCGCACCCUCACAUGGAUGUCCGGAACGCAUCAGUGCUCAGCUCCUAUGGCAAAGUUCUCCGAGAUCAUUCCCUACCUGUUCAUGGAUGAAGAGACUGUUUCUGAUGAGUUUGGCAUUGUUCGGGAAAGUGGGCAGCGCACUAAGGAUGAGAUUGCCUUUGCUUACAAACAAGAGAAGUCGUUUGUCACUGGGUCAAUCAAAGACCUCUUGCCCCUCUAUGACACCAUGCGCCAUAUCCUGCGGUAUACCCUCACUCCAAAGGCUGGGGAUUCCCAUAACAUUCGGAGCUCCAUGCUUGAUGUCUUUGUGUAUCUUCAUCAGAAGAAGAAAGUGGAUCUUCUAGAUUUCAUGUACUACAAGCUGCAUCAGUGUGUACAAGAGAACAAGUCUUUGAUCUAUGCUCCAUUCAUACAGGCGUUGAUUGAGACCGUUUGUCCAGCAAAGUACAUUGCCAGCUUCAAGACUUCUGUUCCCAAGCGCAACUCCAACUGGCCCCCAGCCGCUCCUGCUCCCUAUGUGCCCAUCAAGAAGGGGCGCAACCCUAGGCCCGAGGAUCAUGCUACUUACACUCCAGGCAUGUCCUCUACUGCAUGGAUCCCUCGUGGUAAGGCCAAGUCUGUUGGCUCUGAGGCCAUCUUUGCCAAGGGAGAGAAGAAGUCGUUGUUCAAGACCUUGAGCAACAUGUUCAAGAUGUCAAAUAUCGUUGACGACCGCGCCAACUCCCAUGACGACCCCAACACCGCCGCCAAGCCGACGGCGGUGGCAGCUGGGAGGACGCAGUAUGAAUUGCUCGGUGUGGGUGCCGGGGCGACUAGGGGCGAGAUCAAGGUGGCGUACCGGCGUCUGGCCAGGAAGGUGCACCCGGACGCUGCUGGUGGUGGCGACGACGAGGGGUUCAUCCGGCUGCACACGGCCUACGCCACGCUCGCCGACCCCGACGAGCGCGCACGCUACGACCGUGACGUGGCCUGCCGCACCGCGGGAAUGAUGAUGCGGCGGGCGGCGGCGGCCGGGCCGACGUUUCAGUGGAGGACAUGGGAGGCCGACCAGUGCUGGUAG